rnacentral:pre_miRNA from 1 species
GGCUACAACACAGGACACGGGAGCUUUUCUGAACCCUCGUGUCUUGUGUUGCAGCCAG